CCCAGACUCCUACGGGAGGCAGCAGUGGGGGAUAUUGCACAAUGGGGGGAACCCUGAUGCAGCGACGCCGCGUGAGGGAAGACGGUUUUCGGAUUGUAAACCUCUGUCUUUAGGGACGAAACAAAUGACGGUACCUAAAGAGGAAGCCACGGCUAACUACGUGCCAGCAGCCGCGGUAAUACGUAGGUGGCAAGCGUUAUCCGGAUUUACUGGGUGUAAAGGGCGAGUAGGCGGGAUUGCAAGUCAGAUGUGAAAACUAUGGGCUCAACUGAUAGAGUGCAUUUGAAACUGUAGUUCUUGAGUGAUGGAGAGGCAGGCGGAAUUCCCGGUGUAGCGGUGGAAUGCGUAGAUAUCGGGAGGAACACCAGUGGCGAAGGCGGCCUGCUGGACAUUAACUGACGCUGAGGCGCGAAAGCGUGGGGAGCAAACAGGAUUAGAUACCCGUGUACAC
rnacentral:rRNA from 1 species